rnacentral:lncRNA from 1 species
CCUUCCGUCUGGAUUCGUAAUAGUUUGAAAAACAUCAAGUUUAAGAAAUUGGAGAAGGAUCAGCCUAGAAGGCCAUUAGCUGGACUCCGUCCCCUGCCUUCUGUCCGGCCCCAGUUCCUGUGGUGGGGACCACACCUGCUGGCCGAGCCCGUCCCCUUAGGUGUUGCUGGGGCCUUUCCAGGGCCGGAGCGACCUGCGGCCAGCGGCGGGCGGGGAGGCCCAGCAGUUCGAGGCCCAGCUGGAGGUGAAGCUGGUGACAGCGGGCAGCCCCGUGGUCAUCGCCGGGAACCUCAGCCGGCAGGCGGGGAGCAAGUUGGCAUUUUCCGUGUUCCUGAACAACCUGCUGAGGGACCAGGCCCACCUGUCAGCGCUGCUGGAGAAGAAGGCAGAGGACGGGCUGCAGGUGGUGACCCUGGGCGGCGAGCUCUUCGUGCCGGGGCUCGUGGGGCUGCGCGCCGGGGGCCUCCUGCGGCAGCGGGGCGGCCUCUGGACCAGCUCCCUGAGCGUCAAGUAUGGCCUCCUGGGUACGGCACCGUGUGCGGGGGGCGCGGCGGGAGGUGGCAGGAUCUGCACCAUCUGCUGGAGCUGUGGCUCCGAGGGCGAAGGGAGCACUGUCACCUUGGGUGUUCUGGCCUCACCGCAUCGCUCCUUAGCCAGUUGUUCGUUCCAUCGGCUGUCAAUGGCACUGAGCACCUGCUCAUUAGAAUAAAAGUGUGUGCGCACGCACGUGCCUGUGUUCAGGGGGACAUAAACCUGUCUCUUAAAACCCCCCCAUCAGCAGGUCCCACUGAGUGACCUUAGGUGGGGUGGAUCCUGGGGGAUGGACUGAGGCUGGGCUGAACACUCCUGUCCUUGGAACGGGGAGGGAGGGCUGCCUGGCGGAGGAAGGGCAGGGGUCUCUGGGUCGCCCCGUGUAGGUCAGGCGAAGCAGCCGGCGCAGGAGUGCAGCACCGGCCAGAAGCUGCGGGCGGAGAGCAGCCCGGAGGGCGCCUACCAGCUGGAGCUGGACCACGAGCUCCACUGCACACAGCUCCCGGUGUUCAGCCACAAGGUGGGUGCCCAGGGCGGGCGGGGAGUCUGGAGGGAGCCCCGGGUCAGGGAGGUGGUGGGGCGAGCACCCUGAACGCGUCCUCGAAGAGACGGAUUUGCUCCAGGUCACGGACGGGAGCGGAUCUGGAACUGGAACGUCGGUCUCAGUUUUCCAUCCAUUUGUUCAGUUAGUCUUUAUUAAACACCUACUGUCUGCACCGUGGGGAGAGCUGCGCACAAGGCAGAACUUCGUUUCUGCCAUCCUGUUGCUGGGUAGGGGCAGAAUGAAAGACAGUUCAAAUCAAGGGAGACUUAACUGCCCACGCAUGGUAAAGGGGCAGAGGCUGAGAGCAUAACAGAGGGGAAUCUAGUUUGCAUGGGCACCAGGGAAACCUUCUUUGGGAGAAAUAAAUUUUAAGCUGGAAAUUAAAACA